UAGGGAAUCUUCGGCAAUGGACGGAAGUCUGACCGAGCAACGCCGCGUGAGUGAAGAAGGUUUUCGGAUCGUAAAGCUCUGUUGUUAGAGAAGAACGUUGGUAGGAGUGGAAAAUCUACCAAGUGACGGUAACUAACCAGAAAGGGACGGCUAACUACGUGCCAGCAGCCGCGGUAAUACGUAGGUCCCGAGCGUUGUCCGGAUUUAUUGGGCGUAAAGCGAGCGCAGGCGGUUCGUUAAGUCUGAAGUUAAAGGCAGUGGCUUAACCAUUGUACGCAUUGGAAACUGGAGGACUUGAGUGCAGAAGGGGAGAGUGGAAUUCCAUGUGUAGCGGUGAAAUGCGUAGAUAUAUGGAGGAACACCGGUGGCGAAAGCGGCUCUCUGGUCUGUAACUGACGCUGAGGCUCGAAAGCGUGGGGAGCAAACAGG
rnacentral:rRNA from 1 species